GAUGAACGCUGGCGGCGUGCUUAACACAUGCAAGUCGAACGGAAAGGCUCCUGCUUGCAGGGGUACUCGAGUGGCGAACGGGUGAGUAACACGUGGGUGAUCUGCCCUGCACUUCGGUAUAAGCCUGGGAAACUGGGUCUAAUACCGGAUAGGACGAUGGUUUGGAUGCCAUUGUGGACAGUUUUUCGGUGUGGGAUGAGCUCGCGGCCUAUCAGCUUGUUGGUGGGGCAAUGGCCUACCAAGGCGUCGACGGGUAGCCGGCCUGAGAGGGUGUACGGCCACAUUGGGACUGAGAUACGGCCCAGACUCCUACGGGAGGCAGCAGUGGGGAAUAUUGAAAAAUGGGCGCAAGCCUGAUGCAGCGACGCCGCGUGGGGGAUGACGGCCUUCGGGUUGUAAACUCCUUUCGCUAGGGACGAAGCGCAAGUGACGGUACCUGGAGAAGAAGCACCGGCUAACUAAGUG
rnacentral:rRNA from 1 species